rnacentral:rRNA from 1 species
CAAUAGCGUAUAUUUAGGUUGUUGCAGUUAAAAAGCUCGUAGUUGGAUUUCGGAUGGGAUUUGCCGGUCCGUCGUUACGAUGUGCACUGGCCAGUCCUAUCUUGUUGUCGGGGACUAGCUCCUUGGAUUCACUUCCUGGGACUAGGAGCUGACGAGGUUACUUUGAGUAAAUUAGAGUGUUCAAAGCAAGCCUACGCUCUGAAUACAUUAGCAUGGAAUAACACGAUAGGACUCUGGCUUAUCUUGUUGGUCUGUGAGACCAGAGUAAUGAUUAAGAGGGACAGUCGGGGACAUUCGUAUUUCAUUGUCAGAGGUGAAAUUCUUGGAUUUAUGAAAGACGAACUUCUGCGAAAGCAUUUGUCAAGGAUGUUUUCAUUAA